UUAAUUUGAGAGUUUGAUCCUGGCUCAGGACGAACGCUGGCGGCGUGCCUAAUACAUGCAAGUCGAACGAACUCUGGUAUUGAUUGGUGCUUGCAUCAUGAUUUACAUUUGAGUGAGUGGCGAACUGGUGAGUAACACGUGGGAAACCUGCCCAGAAGCGGGGGAUAACACCUGGAAACAGAUGCUAAUACCGCAUAACAACUUGGACCGCAUGGUCCGAGUUUGAAAGAUGGCUUCGGCUAUCACUUUUGGAUGGUCCCGCGGCGUAUUAGCUAGAUGGUGGGGUAACGGCUCACCAUGGCAAUGAUACGUAGCCGACCUGAGAGGGUAAUCGGCCACAUUGGGACUGAGACACGGCCCAAACUCCUACGGGAGGCAGCAGUAGGGAAUCUUCCACAAUGGACGAAAGUCUGAUGGAGCAACGCCGCGUGAGUGAAGAAGGGUUUCGGCUCGUAAAACUCUGUUGUUAAAGAAGAACAUAUCUGAGAGUAACUGUUCAGGUAUUGACGGUAUUUAACCAGAAAGCCACGGCUAACUACGUGCCAGCAGCCGCGGUAAUACGUAGGUGGCAAGCGUUGUCCGGAUUUAUUGGGCGUAAAGCGAGCGCAGGCGGUUUUUUAAGUCUGAUGUGAAAGCCUUCGGCUCAACCGAAGAAGUGCAUCGGAAACUGGGAAACUUGAGUGCAGAAGAGGACAGUGGAACUCCAUGUGUAGCGGUGAAAUGCGUAGAUAUAUGGAAGAACACCAGUGGCGAAGGCGGCUGUCUGGUCUGUAACUGACGCUGAGGCUCGAAAGUAUGGGUAGCAAACAGGAUUAGAUACCCUGGUAGUCCAUACCGUAAACGAUGAAUGCUAAGUGUUGGAGGGUUUCCGCCCUUCAGUGCUGCAGCUAACGCAUUAAGCAUUCCGCCUGGGGAGUACGGCCGCAAGGCUGAAACUCAAAGGAAUUGACGGGGGCCCGCACAAGCGGUGGAGCAUGUGGUUUAAUUCGAAGCUACGCGAAGAACCUUACCAGGUCUUGACAUACUAUGCAAAUCUAAGAGAUUAGACGUUCCCUUCGGGGACAUGGAUACAGGUGGUGCAUGGUUGUCGUCAGCUCGUGUCGUGAGAUGUUGGGUUAAGUCCCGCAACGAGCGCAACCCUUAUUAUCAGUUGCCAGCAUUAAGUUGGGCACUCUGGUGAGACUGCCGGUGACAAACCGGAGGAAGGUGGGGAUGACGUCAAAUCAUCAUGCCCCUUAUGACCUGGGCUACACACGUGCUACAAUGGAUGGUACAACGAGUUGCGAACUCGCGAGAGUAAGCUAAUCUCUUAAAGCCAUUCUCAGUUCGGAUUGUAGGCUGCAACUCGCCUACAUGAAGUCGGAAUCGCUAGUAAUCGCGGAUCAGCAUGCCGCGGUGAAUACGUUCCCGGGCCUUGUACACACCGCCCGUCACACCAUGAGAGUUUGUAACACCCAAAGUCGGUGGGGUAACCUUUUAGGAACCAGCCGCCUAAGGUGGGACAGAUGAUUA
rnacentral:rRNA from 1 species